ensembl:snRNA U6 U6 spliceosomal RNA
GUGCUAGCUUUAGCAGCACGUGUACUAAUACUGGACAGAUACAGAGAUCAGCAUGGCCUUGUGCAAGGAUGACGUGCAAAUUUGUGAGACAUUCCAUAUUUUU